UACAUAUGUAGUAAGAGUAUAAACAUGCAUGAGAAUAAUAAACACCAAAUUCAGGGUAAUAGUUGCCUCUGGAAGAGGGGGAACGGGAGGGGUCACAGAGGACUUCAGCUUUAUCGGUAAAAUUUCAUAAGUUGGGUAGGAAAGACACAAAUGUAUGUUAUUCAUUGUACCUGUUUGUAUAUCUUAAAUAUUUCUUAAUCAAAUUAAUUUUUUUCCUGAGAAUGAAAACUCUUUUGUGACUUUCCCAGUGUUAGUGGAAACAAGAUCUGAAGCUGAUUCCUUUUAGAAGCUCUCAACACUUCUUAGCUAUGUCACCAAAUGCAUGAGCAACAACAAAAAACAAAUUUGAUAAAUUAGACUUAUCAAAAAAAGCUUUUGUACCUCAAAGGAUGCCAUCAAGAAAGUAAAAAGACAACCCACAGAAUGGGAGAAAAUAUUUGGAAAUACUAAAUCUGAUAAGAGACUUGUAUCUGGAAUAUAUAAAAAACUCUUACAACUCAAUACUAAAAAAAAAAAAAAAAAGAAGAAAAAAUCCAAUUAAAAAAUCAGCAAAGGAUCUAAAUAGACUCUUCUCCAAGGAAAAUAUACAGUGGUCAAUAAGCACAUGAAAAGAUGCUUAACAUUUCCAUCAGAGAGCUGCCAAGAUAAACCACAAUGAGAUACGACUUCACGCCCACUGGGAUAACUAGAAUAAGAAAGAUAGGUAUUGGUGAGGAAGUGGAGAAAUCAGAACCAUCGUACAUUGCUGGUGGGAAUAUAAAAUGGUGAGUCACUUUUGAGUUUGGCUGUCCUUCAAAGGUUAAACCUAAGAGUUGCCAUGAAUGUUUAUAGCAGCAUUAUUCAUAAUAGCCAAAAUGAGAAAGAACCCAAAUGUCUAUCAACCAAUGAGUGGAUAAACAAAAUAUGAUGUAGCCUUGUAAAUGAAUGUUAUCCGGCUGUAAGUAGGAAUGAAAUGCCAAUACAUUCUACAACAUUGAUAAUCCUUGAAAUCACAAUGUUAGCCGGGCACGGUGGCUCAAGCCUGUAAUCCCAGCACUUUGGGAGGCCGAGAUGGGCGGAUCAUGAGGUCAGGAGAUUGAGACCAUCCUGGCUAACACGUUGAAACCCUGUCUCUACUAAAAAAAAUACAAAAAGCUAGCCGGGUGAGGUGGUGGGCGCCUGUAGUCCCAGCUACUCGGGAGGCUGAGGCAGAAUGGCAUAAACCCGGGAGGCGGAGCUUGCAGUGAGCUGAGAUCCGGCCACUGCACUCCAGCCUGGGCGACAGAGCGAGACUCUGUCUCAAAAAAAAAAAAAAAUCACAAUGUUAAAUGAAAGGAACCAGGUACCAAAGACCACAUAUUAUUCCAUUUACAGGAAAUAUCCAGAAUAGAUAAAUCUAUAGAAGUAAAGUAGAUUAGUGGUUGCCAGAGGCUGAAGGAGGUAGAAAUAGGGAGUGACUGCUCAUAGGUAAGGGGAUUCUUUUUGGGGUCUUGAAAAUACUCUAAAAUUAGAGUGGUAGUAGUUGCACCUCUGAACAUUCAGUAGCCCACUCUUAUCCAUGGUUUUGCUUUCUGUGGUUUCAGUAACCUGUCUAUUGCAGUCUGAAAAUAUUAAAUGGAAAAUUUCAGAAAUAAACAAUUCAUAAGUUUUAAGU
ensembl:lncRNA